AUGUCCCCACAAUUUAGUGAGGGGCACCCCGGCUAAUUUCUUUCUCUAACCUUCAUAGAUGACAAAUCCAGUGAGAAACAAACCUUUCCUCUCCACGGUCACGGAACUGCUAUAGAUGACCCAACUAUCAGCUACACGACCCCCAGCGGAUUUCAGAUUUGGGGUCGACACGCCGCAUCAUCUGAACAAAGCGAACGUAGAUCUGCAAGGAAAGUGACAUUUGUCAACGAGCUCAAGCUAUUCCAGACCCAUCUUCAAAAGAGAGAGCUCACGCAUUUCCCCUCCUCGUCGAAGGCGAGCGGAAGAGCAGCCGAGGUCUUACAAAAGCACUCUACGCGACACCGGUUGAAAAUCCGCAGCAGAGUUUUGAGGACAGAUUCUGCAACCUGAGGGAAAAACGGCCACAGAUCACCUUCCUCAUUAACCCUUUCGCUGCUGAAUCCGACUGUUUGAAAGCCCCUUUGGUGACAAACGAAGCAGCGUCCCAGUUGGAGACGAUUGAACUUUGUGAGGAUGAACUUUCCCGCGAACAGACUGCCAAGUUUCUCACCGAGUCAGUCUAGUCCGAGAAGAGGGUGCGUGAAAGCGACGCGGUCCCCGUCACGUGUGGUGUCGUUACAGAGAGAGAGAGAGAGAGCCAGACACAGCAGUCUGAGAAGAGGGUGUGUGGAAGGGACGCGGUCCCCGUCAC